AUUGAACGCUGGCGGCAGGCCUAACACAUGCAAGUCGAGCGAGCGGCGGACGGGUGAGUAAUGUCUGGGAAACUGCCUGAUGGAGGGGGUUAACUCUUGGAAACGGUAGCUAUUACAGCAUACUACCAGAUGUGUCCCGAUGGGAUUAGCUAGUAGGUGGGGUAACGGCUCACCUAGGCGACGAUCCCUAGCUGGUCUGAGAGGAUGACCAGCCACACUGGAACUGAGACACGGUCCAGACUCCUACGGGAGGCAGCAGUGGGGAAUAUUGCACAAUGGGCGCAAGCCUGAUGCAGCCAUGCCGCGUGUGUGAAGAAGGCCUUCGGGUUGUAAAGCACUUUCAGCGGGGAGGCGUUACCCGCAGAAGAAGCACCGGCUAACUCCGUGCCAGCAGCCGCGGUAAUUC
rnacentral:rRNA from 1 species